UGGGGAAUAUUGCACAAUGGGCGCAAGCCUGAUGCAGCCAUGCCGCGUUUAUGAAGAAGGCCUUCGGGUUGUAAAGUACUUUCAGUCGGGAGGAAGGUGGUAAGGUUAAUAACCUUAUCAAUUGACGUUACCGACAGAAGAAGCACCGGCUAACUCCGUGCCAGCAGCCGCGGUAAUACGGAGGGUGCAAGCGUUAAUCGGAAUUAUUGGGCGUAAAGCGCACGCAGGCGGUUGAUUGAGUCAGAUGUGAAAUCCCCGGGCUUAACCCGGGAAUUGCAUCUGAUACUGGUCAGCUAGAGUCUUGUAGAGGGGGGUAGAAUUCCAUGUGUAGCGGUGAAAUGCGUAGAGAUGUGGAGGAAUACCGGUGGCGAAGGCGGCCCCCUGGACAAAGACUGACGCUCAGGUGCGAAAGCGUGGGGAGCAAACAGG
rnacentral:rRNA from 1 species